CACGUAGGGGGCGAGCGUUGUCCGGAUUUAUUGGGCGUAAAGAGCUCGUAGGCGGUUCGGCAAGUCGGGUGUGAAAUUUCGAGGCUCAACCUCGAAACGCCACUCGAUACUGCUGUGACUGGAGUCCGGUAGAGGAGUGCGGAAUUCCUGGUGUAGCGGUGAAAUGCGGCAGAUAUCAGGAGGAACACCGGUGGCGAAGGCGGGUCUCUGGGGCCGAUGACUGACGCUGGAGGAGCGAAAGCGUGGGGAGCGAACAGG
rnacentral:rRNA from 1 species